AUCGCCCUGCCGAGUUUGUGAUGUUAACGAAGUUUUGUUCCAACAGCUUCUUACUAGGGAGUUGAUUGCCUCGGAAGGUAGGCGGAGUCGUGGCUACGGCCACCUGGCUUGACGCUGAUGUCCUGGGAUAGACGCCCACCUGUUAUUACAGGUUCAGAACCUAGUGCACACGGCCCGGCGGGGUUUUU
rnacentral:other from 2 species